GCUAAAAUAGCUCAGUUGGUAGAGUAUUAGACUGAAGAUCUAUUUGUCAUCAGUUCGAUUCUGAUUUUUAGCU
rnacentral:tRNA from 1 species